UACGAAGGGGGCUAGCGUUGCUCGGAAUUACUGGGCGUAAAGCGCACGUAGGCGGCUUCUUAAGUCGGUGGUGAAAUCCUGGAGCUCAACUCCAGAACUGCCUUCGAUACUGGGAAGCUCGAGUCCGGGAGAGGUGAGUGGAACUGCGAGUGUAGAGAUGAAAUUCGUAGAUAUUCGCAAGAACACCAGUGGCGAAGGCAGCUCACUGGCCCGGUACUGACGCUGAGGUGCGAAAGCGUGGGGAGCAAACAGG
rnacentral:rRNA from 1 species